AUUUGUACUCAACACAGCAUACUAAAAUACUUCCAUAAAAUGUAUUAUAUUACAUUCAAAUAUGAAUUCAUAUAAUGUGUACUUUUUCAGACAGUUUUACAACAGCCACACUGCAGUUUUAUAAGUUUAGUUAUAGUCGCCAAACAGCUGGUCCUAAGACUGCUACAGGAAUUCCUGAAAAACCCAGCUGUGAUCAGCUGUGGGCUCUCUGGGCACUCUGAUUCUCCCUGUAUUGCUCCCACUGCUGUUUUUGCAGGCCAUCAAUAGCACUUCAGAAGCUGAGAAGGUGAUAUCUGGCAGCUUGGAAGUAACAAAUCCCACCAAGGGCGGAGCGGCGGCCAGAGGAGAAGUGGUAGCAGGGACAUCAGGAUCCAUGCCAUCUGAGACUGUCACAGUGGCUGCGGCAACAGCAUCAUUUGGUGUGAGUGUCCCAGACUAACCUGAUCAUCAGUGCUAAACUGGGAGCUUCUAACUUGACCUUCUUGCCAAACAUCUCUACAAGCUACAGAGACAAGUGAAGAAUCACCAUCAACAAGCCAAUUGAAGCCUAUAGAAAAUGUGGUUUAUCCAACCUUUUCAUCCACAUCAAUAAGUACACAUAGUUUGGGAUCAGCGGAUAUGUUGCCUGACAUUCCCUGCAGUACUCCAGUUG